UACUGCUCCAUUAUUCAGUCCCAUACUUCAAGAGGGCAGUUGAAAUUAAAAACAUCACAUUUAAACAGAUGAGAAACUACUUUUAUGCAGCCUAUAUUUAACAUCUCUCAGGAUAUUAAAGGAAAUAACUUAGUAAGUUUCACAUAUGAGCAAGAACAGCAUAGCAAUGAUACCAGCUAGACUACCAACUACAAGAGCCAUCAAAUCCUCAGACUUCAGCAGAUUACCAGCUGGAACAGCAUUGUAUUCACAGACAGACACUUUGAAGGGUUUUACAUCUACCUCCCAUAUUGCUAUUAUGAUAGAAAGGACACUUGACUAGAAGGAUCAUUGGUCCUUUCUAGUCUGGCAGAUCCUGUGCAUUCUGAAAGAUGACAACCUAACAUGUCUCUGAGCCAAGAUACCAAAGGUAAAAGAGAUUAAGCUAAAGCCAGCAUGGACAUACUCAUCCAGUUACAUUAUUUCACAACAUUCAGCAGCAGUCUCCAGCGGAAAUACUGUACAGUAUUUGUAUUUUAUUACUACACCUUCUGGUUUGUGCUCUGUUUGCGUAAUUGUUCCCUGUGUAUCUUGCCUCCUGGGAACUCCUGAAGCCAAGUUUAGUCUGGUCUGUCUGUAUGUAACCCUCAAGCUCCUUCUACAGCAGCUGGGAAGGGUUUCAGUGUUCUCCAAGGACAUGUAACUGGAGAGAAAAACAACUGUUUCCACUGGUGAUGGGUCUGGAAAUUCAUAGGAAAGUAUACUCAAGAAGAGCUACUGCCAACAAGGGAGAGAAACAAAUGGAUCAAGUUACCAGGAGAGGAAUCAAUUGCAGCUGGAGGGGGUUUCCUGAAGACAAGGAGACGGUGGCAAUUUGCAUCAGCAGCAGCGGAGAGGAAGGGAGCAUAGCAGCAAGGGAGGGUCAGGAGAUGGAGGAGAAGCAUACAAGCCAACAAAGAAGCAGGAGCACAGGGAUCCUAUCACUGGCUCUAUCGGCUCAUCCAGUUCAGCCAUGGCACUUGGAGGUUCUUCUAUUUCUAACAUCAAUGCAAGUUGCAGAAGCUUUGAUUUAGCAGCCAUCUGGACAAUCAGCGAUAGAAACUGCAUGUGUUUAUGAUGUGGAUCUAACAAGGAGGCAAUAAGUGCAGGUUUGGCAGUUAUGGCAGGAUCAUUGGGUUUCAUGUGAUGCUCCAGAGAGUGACAAACAGCAGCCUUGAAAUCAGUGACUUUUCCAUUUUCAACGGGAGUGUCGCUUCUGAGGGGAGUUUGGAUAAGACUGACUGUUCAGCAGACCUGGCAGUUGUAGCGCAUUUUAAAGUGGAAAAUAGCAAUAAGAUAUCCUCUACUAAUUACCAGUGCUCAUCUUGCAGCUGAAGUGUUCAGGUAUCAGAUUGUUUUGUUACAGGGCUAUCUGAAAGCACAGCUGUUAUGCCUACCUUUGCUCACUGAGUCAUAUACUGAACAUGCCACAAUGAAUUCGAGUGAGUUUUACAUGACUGAAUCAGACAGUGUCACUUACCCUGAAGCUGUGUUUGUUUUCUUUCCAGAGCUUUUGCAGCCACAGUGCUGUGGUGGCAGUGUGCAAGUAGUCUACUUGCAGCUGCAACAGCACGAUCCACGCUACUUGAAGAAAACUCAUGAUUUAUGGUUAGCUGCAAUGUAACAUACCUCCGUGUGUUGGCGAGCAUAAUGUUGCUUGCAUUAUUGUGUAUACACGCCAAGACACAGCCUGCCAGACCCUAUCUUUCCACUGUAGCAUUUAAUUUUUCAGCAUGGUUUUCCACUACAUGUCAUUCUGCCAUACUUUUAGUUUGUAGAACCGCAGAUUGAAUCUCCCAAUUUUCCAUAUAAUAGCAAAUGACAGUCAUGUAGCUUUCUGUAGUGAAUGCUGUCCAGUAGUCAGUGGUGAAAGCUACUUUAAUGGCAUUUUCCAAUUUUUCCUGGACAGACUUCACACAGUCCUCAUAGCACUUCUCUAGUCACAAGGUUAUAGUCUGUCUCACAGGCACACAGUAUUCAGAUUCUACCAAACUUAUCAAUGCACAAAAACCUGUAUCCUCGAUGACACUUACAGGCAGCAUAUCUGUAGUGAUCAUGUUGCACAACAACUCAGUUUUUCGUCAUGUUGUGUGUUACAUUUUCUUGAACUGCCAGAAACAAACACUGUCAGUGUUGUUUGAUUUUUGCCUUCUUUUUCACAUGAACAGAGGGAUGUUUCAGCUUCAGCAUUGCUCCAGUUCUGUUUGCAUACUUCAGCUCUAUCUUACACAGUUUACAUUUAACUGCACUGUCUGUUAUUUUUGUGAAAUGAUUCCAGGCAUUACUGCUUUUUGAUUGCUCCAUCUUCACUAUGGAAAAGUAGUCACCAAAAAUCACAAUAACCUACAUGAUGCUGUUUGAAGGUUUAACACUACCAAAGUGUUAUACCAGUUCCAUAGCAAUGGUCCUAACAAUGCAGAACCUAGUUCCACAUACACUUUGAAAUGGUAUUGCUGCAGCGUUUCUAAUGUGUGCAUUAGGUAUUACAAUGUCAUGACAUUAUUUUACCAAUCUGUUUUAAACGUUUACUGAAUACACUAACAGUAAGACUGAUGCUUAUCGGUUAACCAUUUAA